UACAGAGGUCCCAAGCGUUGUUCGGAUUUACUGGGCGUAAAGGGUGCGUAGGCGGUCAAAAAAGUCUGAUGUGAAAUCUCGGAGCCUAACUCCGAAACUGCAUUGGAAACUGUUUGACUUGAGGAGUGGAGGGGAGACUGGAAUUCUCGGUGUAGCAGUGAAAUGCGUAGAUAUCGAGAGGAACACCAGUGGCGAAGGCGAGUCUCUAGACAUUUCCUGACGCUGAGGCACGAAAGCCAGGGGGGAAAGCGGGAUGAGAUACCCCGGUAGUCUGGGCUGUAACCGGGGCGUAUUUGCGGGGGGCGGAUCCGCCCCCGCCAGUGGCGAAGCUAACGCGAUAAAUGCGCCGCCUGGGGAGUACGGUCGCAAGAUUA
rnacentral:rRNA from 1 species